CUUUAUUUCGGAGGACGCACUUCGAAGAUACCAGAUUUUAUGGGUCAUCCUUGGAUUUUGAAGCUUAUAACUGUGACAAAAAAUGUGGAGGGAAGAGAUUUGAAACAUGUGGAAGGAAAAUUUAGAUGCAAAAUCCACAAGUAUUCAAGUGAUUGUUAAAGAGGGAGGCCUGAAGUUGAUUCAGAUCCAAGACAAUGGCACCGGGAUCAGGAAAGAAGAUCUGGAUAUUGUAUGUGAAAGGUUCACUACUAGUAAACUGCAGUCCUUUGAGGAUUUAGCCAGUAUUUCUACCUAUGGCUUUCGAGGUGAGGCUUUGGCCAGCAUAAGCCAUGUGGCUCAUGUUACUAUUACAACGAAAACAGCUGAUGGAAAGUGUGCAUACAGAGCAAGUUACUCAGAUGGAAAACUGAAAGCCCCUCCUAAACCAUGUGCUGGCAAUCAAGGGACCCAGAUCACGGUGGAGGACCUUUUUUACAACAUAGCCACGAGGAGAAAAGCUUUAAAAAAUCCAAGUGAAGAAUAUGGGAAAAUUUUGGAAGUUGUUGGCAGGUAUUCAAUACACAAUG
rnacentral:sRNA from 1 species